UUGCUGCUCAGUUAGAACCUAGCCCCUUUGUGACAUGGUCAGGAGGCUAUGCUGACAGUUGCUCUGGAGCCAUGUCGACCAUGGGGCCAGGGGAGAAAAUCCUGAAGGUGAACCUGGCCUGGCUGGCAAUCUUCCACCUGAACAAGGAAAGACAGUGGAAGAGGCUGCAGAGCUGGCGCUGGGCUACAUGAAGUUGAGGCUCAAAGGCUUGGAGGGCCUCAUCCUGGUCAGCAGAACAGGGGACUAGGUAGCAAAAUGGACCUCAGACUCCAUGCUCUGGGCAGCUGUGAAGGGUGGCAAGGUGCAUGCUGGCACUAACAUCAGUGACACCACCAUCACAGACCUGUGCUGAGUUGGAGAUGGUGCCCACAGGGUUGGUGUAGCUUAAUCAAUUAGACAUCAAGGGAAAAUUUACCCAGCCUGUCCCUGGUUUUGUUCCUGAUCCUUGAGUAUCUGAAUAUUUGUUUGCAUUGAAGCUCUACAGUAGUGAGAGAAACACUAACUUCAGAUCAUCUUCAUCACAGUUAGGAUCAUUAUGUAUGGCAAACACGUACUAAUAAAGACCAUUUAAAAAUGAGAAA